GACGAACGCUGGCGGCGUUCUUAACACAUGCAAGUCGAACGGAAAGGCCCUGCUUUUGUGGGGUGCUCGAGUGGCGAACGGGUGAGUAACACGUGAGUAACCUGCCCUUGACUUUGGGAUAACUUCAGGAAACUGGGGCUAAUACCGGAUAGGAGCUCCUGCUGCAUGGUGGGGGUUGGAAAGUUUCGGCGGUUGGGGAUGGACUCGCGGCUUAUCAGCUUGUUGGUGGGGUAGUGGCUUACCAAGGCUUUGACGGGUAGCCGGCCUGAGAGGGUGACCGGCCACAUUGGGACUGAGAUACGGCCCAGACUCCUACGGGAGGCAGCAGUGGGGUAUAUUGCACAAUGGGCGGAAGCCUGAUGCAGCAACGCCGCGUGCGGGAUGACGGCCUUCGGGUUGUAAACCGCUUUCGCCUGUGACGAAGCGUGAGUGACGGUAAUGGGUAAAGAAGCACCGGCUAACUACGUG
rnacentral:rRNA from 1 species